rnacentral:tRNA from 1 species
GGAGCUGUAGCUCAGUGGUAGAGCGGCUGCUUGUCAUGCGAAAGGUCCAAGGUUCAAAUCCCCGGCAGGUCCA